rnacentral:tRNA from 17 species
CCGGGUGUGGCGAAGUUUGGUAUCGCGCUUGAAUGGGGUUCAAGAGGCCUUGAGUUCGAAUCUCAACACUCGGACCA